rnacentral:rRNA from 1 species
UUUGCCGGAGUUAGCUGAGAGGUGGUGCAUGGCCGUCGUCAGUUCGUACUGUGAAGCAUCCUGUUAAGUCAGGCAACGAGCGAGGCCCACGCCCACAGUUGCCAGCGUACUCUCUGGAGUGACGGGUACACUGUGGGGACCGCCGCUGCUAAAGCGGAGGAAGGAAUGGGCAACGGUAGGUCAGUAUGCCCCGAAUAUCCCGGGCUACACGCGAGCUACAAUGGUUGGUACAAUGGGUAUCUACCCCGAAAGGGGACGGGAAUCUCCUAAAACCAAUCUUAGUUCGGAUUGAGGGCUGCAACUCGCCCUCAUGAAGCUGGAAUCCGUAGUAAUCGCGUUUCAACAGAACGCGGUGAAUACGUCCCUGCUCCUU